rnacentral:rRNA from 1 species
GUGGAUAACUUCGGGAAACCGGAGCUAAUACCGGAUAAUAUAUUGAACCGCAUGGUUCAAUAGUGAAAGACGGUUUUGCUGUCACUUAUAGAUGGAUCCGCGCCGCAUUAGCUAGUUGGUAAGGUAACGGCUUACCAAGGCGACGAUGCGUAGCCGACCUGAGAGGGUGAUCGGCCACACUGGAACUGAGACACGGUCCAG